GAAUGGAAUGGUGUUGAAUUGGCACUGCAUGCUAAGUACUAAGGAAAGUUCACAACAUGUGGGCAAAAUAUACCGGACCGUACCUUACCUUAUAAUUUGUCUUGGGUAUUUCUAAAUAUAGGUUAUAGGCUGAGUCCAGGGUCUCUAUGGGGUUUGAGAACCGAAGGCCUGAGGCUGUAGCAUCCCGAGCGUAGCGAGGGUGCUACUAAGGGCCUAAGGGUCUCAAAACUCCAUAGUGACCGUUGGACGAGGCUGAUUUAGAAUAGUGCUAAGCAAGCUAAGCUAUUAGUAACACAAAGAAGACUCUGUUUCUACAAACCUCAAGCAACAUUAAAAGCUUUGCUCUGGCUAGUCUACAUAAAAAAAACUCACAUUGAAGGCAGUUUCCGUCUCUUGCAUAGCAAAAACUGUUAAUAGAAAGUUACUUAGUAGUUAGCUCUGCACUAGAGCACUAACUAUUGGUAGCUGCAAGAGUGAGAUAAAAGCUACAAAGCGGCACUGCAGAACACAAAGACUUUUAAAAAUUAGUUUUUAAUGAUGCACUGCAUCAUCGAUACUAUGACUUCGGUGUAACUUGUGCUUGUGCAUGUAUAAAAUAGAUGUUGCUAAGCAUUCCAUGUAUGUUUGUAUGUAUCAUGAAUUAAAUGCAUGUAGUGAACAUAUAAUGGACCACCAUAGAAGACCUCUCUAUGAGAAAUAAAGGACCUCCAAGUAACCAAUCAGAUUGCACCAUUUGUGACAAGCAUUUUCUAAAUGCUUUUAUAUUGUAGGUUGGAGAAUGAAUACCUGGACAACUGGGACACUGGGAAAAAUCGCUUAAGUGCACUGGCUGCAACAAGAUGCUGUAGUGAUGCCACAAGGACUGAAGUUCACAGUAUAAUAUACAAUGUGUAUUGUAAACCUAAAACUCCUUUGCAGUCAAAUAAUUCAUUGACAGGACCGCAAGUGCCUUUCUGAGUGAGCGAAUCGGCUAGAACCCUCUCGAAGUGUUUAACUACAUUUCUAUUUGAUGCACAUUGAUGCACAUAAUUAUUUUUUUACGUGUGAUCAAACAACAAUAAUUAUAAUUGUGAAUCGAAUCAACUAUAUACACUAAGAGUAUAAGUACAAUACGCUAAAGUGAUAGCUAUUAAAUUGUAUUUCCCUCGUAAAUCAUCCUACAACUUUGUUGCAAGUCAGUGCAGUUACAUGAUGCUGGCACUGCUAAAUAUCUUGAAUCCUUCGUCGUGGCUUCUCUCGAUCUGUGUUUCUCUGUAUUUAAAAGGUAAAAUGGACAAGCAAGCUACCAUACUUCUAAAUAAGGCAAGGGCGACAGAAAAAUUAGAAGGGCGCCUUAUAAAUAGAACAAUCUUGGCAGGUCUCAUCAUCCUCAAGCUUUCUGAAAAAAGAUGUGUACAACGCGCCACCAAAAAAUAAUCUCUCUAGCCACGUGGAGCUCUAUGGAGAUUACUGUUUAGUCUGGGUGGCUAAUGUAGACUGGUAUUUUGGACUUAUACCUUCGAUGCUCAUCACUGCCCCCAAGUCUCAUGUGCUGUCUGUCUGCUCUGUAAUCUGUGCUGCCAUCCCAAGGUGAUGUUUCCGGUGCAGUGAAUUAACUUCGCUGGACUGGCCAACAAUCGCGGUCCGUCUCUUUCUACACUGUGAAACUGAGCUAGACCACGCGCGCGCGUACGCCUACAAAUUCAGGCGCAAUUUUUGUGUUCUAAAGAUGCGCCACUCAGAAGUGGAAUUAAUUUUUUCUGGCGCUGUAAUUACAUCAAUUACGGUAGUCUUACAGCUGACAAUAAGUGCAGAAAAUAAGUGCAGAAAUGUCCUACCUACUACACUGGAAGGUUUAGAGCACACAAGUAGCUAUCCAGAAUUUUUACACAAUUUUUACACACAAAACUUAUCGUGGGCGUGUCUGCGUUUUAGCUGAUUCAGGGGCCCGGUAACAUAACAGAGGAGGUCGGACAUCACUCUUAAUUUUAUGUUUUAAUGACAUUCCAGGCCAAUUGCUUUUCGUUUUAAUUUGCUUUUCGUUUUUGCUGACUCAGCAGUAGCGUUAUGAUAGUCUCUAUAGUCUCUAUUUUAGCCAAGGUUGGGCGGCCUAAUCACGAGUCUGUGUUAUAGAGGGCGACUGAUUCAUGAGACAAUAUUUCUGCACGGUUUCUGUCGCUAGUUGGUACUGGACCUAACCCAUACUAGCUAGAUCCAGUCAUGUUCUACUGCUGAGUGAAAAGCAAUUUGGCAGGUCAUAAUUAGUGAAAGUUCAAGUGACCUGGUAAGCUACAAUAUACAUAUACAGCAGAUAUAACAAUAUGCAUGUACACAAGUCUAUCACUUAUGAUAGAUAGCACUGCCGAAUUUUCUUGAGACCACAAAACAAUGAUACCAAACAAGCAUGUAAUUAAACUCUUAUAGAAACUCUACUAAAUUACACUCUAAUACUUUUUGAGCGAAAGCAUAACAUGGCGAGAGGCAUUAGCAAGCGCACGCUUGCAACACCCGUUGCUCUUGAGUUGCUAUAUAGCACUGCAUUAUAAUUAUCUUAUAAUACCAACUAGCCUCGAUCCCAGGCCGAUUCGUCUCCAAUUGAACGCUAUAACGCUAUAGGUCGCCUCCGGCCUGGGAUCAAGGCUAGGCACCAACCAAAAGUUUGCACUUCAGUGCUCUAGUUACCCGAGGCGCGCGUGGGCGGCCACGGGUAUAGUAGUCGUUUGGUUUGGUUUGUCUGUCUGUUUGCAGCAUGGAUAGUAUUAGUUUUAACAAUAGUAGCUUUGUUGUCGAACGAUGGCAGCUAGCUAGCCUCGAUCCCAGCCCCUCUCACUAGAGGGCCUGGUAAACACUGUUUGCGCGUGGGUGGAUUCAAUAGUAAAUUUGUUAGUAAAACUCUUUGUAAUUUAUCAAUUAACCUUUUGUACUAUGGUGGUUGAUUAAACUAUUAAAGAGAAAUCGCCCAUCACAACUCUAGCACUCUAGCCUCGAGACCAGCCGUUCGUUAUCUGAAAGAACGCCUGGUCAAGUUCUAAUGUGCCAGCUGAGUCAGCGUUUUAUAGCAUCAUAAUAAUACACCUUGUGCGGGCAAUUACCGGUCCAAGAAAUUCCUGGACCGCUGGACGAGUGCUACAUUUGGAACUUGACCAGGCGUUCUUUCAGAUAACGAACGGCUGGUCUCGAGACUCGAGGCUCAUACAAUGCAAGGAGCACUGAUCUUACUGAGAUGGAAGCAAGUAGACUUGCCAGAGCCGGUAGGUACAGGUACUGACAGAAAAACGCCCACCACUCUACCACAGUACAAAUGAAGACUUUUCAACAAGAGCAGAACAGAAGUAGAACCCAUAUAUCACAACAAAACUAGUCACUAGUCUAGGUCAUAAAUGUUGUAAGUAGCUGUGUUAUUUUAUUAAAACUGCUGUGUUUGUGCAAUGACAUCAUUGUAAAAUAUACAAUAUACUGACUAAUUUACUAAGAUAUCUCGAUCCCCAAGAAUCUUGGGGCAUGCGCAGACAAUGUAUACCAAGUGGGAGUCCAGCGCAAGCUGGCUUCUAACCUUCAGAACUGCCGCAAUGCAGGUCUGACGUGUGUCCCUCUUGUCGCUGAAACUCUUGGAGGUCUGGCCGAGGAUUUCAUCUCGACGAUUCAAGUCAUCGGCAGAUCGAUUCGUCUCCGAUCAGGUGCCGACCGAGAUACGGACACAACUAAACACCUCUUCGGCAGAGUCAGCUUGGCUUUGUGGCGGGGCUAUGCUGAUUUACAGAGCUCUGCCCCCUGGUGUAACUUAGUCAUUUUUAUAUCUUAAUUUAUUUUAAUUUAAAAAAAAUUUAUUUUAAUUUAUUCUGCCCCCACUUUGGCCUCACUCACUUUGUCACUCACUUUGCUCUGCCCCCUGGUGUAACUUAGUCAUUUUUAUAUCUUAAUUUAUUUUAAUUUAAAAAAAAUUUAUUUUAAUUUAUUCUGCCCCCACUUUUUGGCCUCACUCACUUUGUCACUCACUUUGUCAUCACAUGUUCAAAAAAAAAAAAAAAAAGAA